UCCUGGCUGGCUCAGUCGGUUGAGCAUCCGACUUCAGCUCAGGUUAUGAUCUCGCAGUUUGCGAGUUCGAGCCCCGUGUCAGGCU
rnacentral:tRNA from 1 species